GGUCAAGCACUGCCUGUCACUAUGUUGCUCUGAGUGUUUUCCUCGCACUGUUCCUUGUGCAGCACCGACAGAGUCGGGAUUGCUGUCUGUCAGGCGACAAGGGACUUGGCGAGCUGGCAGAAGAUGUCCAAACACAAAGGCUCUUUUCUUCUGCGGCUGGCAAGAAUCCAGGCCAAUCUUAGAAUAUUUGCCCAUCCUCCUCUGCUGUAUCCGACCCAUCACUGAGGACAGUGUUUCUCUUGGAGUUUCAUCUGAAAAACACUACAGCAGAGGAAUGCUCACUGACCCAGAAGCCCAGUGACAAGAAGAGGGAAUUAUAUGUGUAUGAAUGUCUGCCUUUGGGAAAAAAAGUGCACAGAAAGAGAACUACAACAAAUCCAAAGUUUCUUUCCAAAUUGAAACACCUGGAUUUUUUUUAUUUUUUAUUUUUUUAAGAGUCAG